AACGAACGCUGGCGGCAUGCCUAACACAUGCAAGUCGAACGAGACCUUCGGGUCUAGUGGCGCACGGGUGCGUAACGCGUGGGAACCUGCCCUUAGGUUCGGAAUAACUCCCCGAAAGGGGUGCUAAUACCGGAUAAUGUCUUCGGACCAAAGAUUUAUCGCCUUUGGAUUGGCCCGCGUUGGAUUAGCUAGUUGGUAGGGUAAAAGCCUACCAAGGCGACGAUCCAUAGCUGGUCUGAGAGGAUGAUCAGCCACACUGGGACUGAGACACGGCCCAGACUCCUACGGGAGGCAGCAGUGGGGAAUAUUGGACCAUGGGCGAAAGCCUGAUCAAGCAAUGCCGCGUGAGUGAUGAAGGCCUUAGGGUUGUAAAGCUCUUUUACCCGGGAUGAUAAUGACAGUACCGGGAGAAUAAGCUCCGGCUAACUCCGUG
rnacentral:rRNA from 1 species